GGUUAAGCGACUAAGCGUACACGGUGGAUGCCCUGGCAGUCAGAGGCGAUGAAGGACGUGCUAAUCUGCGAUAAGCGUCGGUGAGGUGAUAUGAACCGUUAUAACCGGCGAUUUCCGAAUGGGGAAACCCAGUGUGUUUCGACACACUAUCAUUAACUGAAUCCAUAGGUUAAUGAGGCGAACCGGGGGAACUGAAACAUCUAAGUACCCCGAGGAAAAGAAAUCAACCGAGAUUCCCCCAGUAGCGGCGAGCGAACGGGGAGGAGCCCAGAGCCUGAAUCAGUGUGUGUGUUAGUGGAAGCGUCUGGAAAGGCGUGCGAUACAGGGUGACAGCCCCGUACACAAAAAUGCACAUAUUGUGAGCUCGAUGAGUAGGGCGGGACACGUGGUAUCCUGUCUGAAUAUGGGGGGACCAUCCUCCAAGGCUAAAUACUCCUGACUGACCGAUAGUGAACCAGUACCGUGAGGGAAAGGCGAAAAGAACCCCGGCGAGGGGAGUGAAAAAGAACCUGAAACCGUGUACGUACAAGCAGUGGGAGCCUCUUAAUGGGGUGACUGCGUACCUUUUGUAUAAUGGGUCAGCGACUUAUAUUCUGUAGCAAGGUUAACCGAAUAGGGGAGCCGAAGGGAAACCGAGUCUUAACUGGGCGUUAAGUUGCAGGGUAUAGACCCGAAACCCGGUGAUCUAGCCAUGGGCAGGUUGAAGGUUGGGUAACACUAACUGGAGGACCGAACCGACUAAUGUUGAAAAAUUAGCGGAUGACUUGUGGCUGGGGGUGAAAGGCCAAUCAAACCGGGAGAUAGCUGGUUCUCCCCGAAAGCUAUUUAGGUAGCGCCUCGUGAAUUCAUCUCCGGGGGUAGAGCACUGUUUCGGCAAGGGGGUCAUCCCGACUUACCAACCCGAUGCAAACUGCGAAUACCGGAGAAUGUUAUCACGGGAGACACACGGCGGGUGCUAACGUCCGUCGUGAAGAGGGAAACAACCCAGACCGCCAGCUAAGGUCCCAAAGUCAUGGUUAAGUGGGAAACGAUGUGGGAAGGCCCAGACAGCCAGGAUGUUGGCUUAGAAGCAGCCAUCAUUUAAAGAAAGCGUAAUAGCUCACUGGUCGAGUCGGCCUGCGCGGAAGAUGUAACGGGGCUAAACCAUGCACCGAAGCUGCGGCAGCGACACUAUGUGUUGUUGGGUAGGGGAGCGUUCUGUAAGCCUGUGAAGGUGGCCUGUGAGGGUUGCUGGAGGUAUCAGAAGUGCGAAUGCUGACAUAAGUAACGAUAAAGCGGGUGAAAAGCCCGCUCGCCGGAA
rnacentral:rRNA from 1 species